CUAGCCUUUACUUCUCACAUAAGCUCUCUUCCGUCCAUCUUGCCACCACCUAUUACUAGGCCCAUACCUCAUCUUCCCUUCCUAUCUCUAGCCCAUGCCCUCUCUCUCUAGGCAUCCUUCCUAAGAGCCAAAAGAGGGGUGGGCAGCAUCAUAGGAGGUGGUGUCAAUUAUUGGUACCACUUGCUCUUGGUUUGUUUCCUUCCAUCUCAAGUGUGUUGAGAGUUAGUUAUAACGACUUCUUAGUUAUUGUUCUUCUU
rnacentral:lncRNA from 1 species